UACGUAGGUGGCAAGCGUUGUCCGGAUUUACUGGGCGUAAAGAGCGCGCAGGCGGUCGCUCAAGUCGCGUGUGAAAGCCCCCGGCUCAACUGGGGAGGGUCACGCGAUACUGAUCGACUCGAAGGCAGGAGAGGGAAGUGGAAUUCCCGGUGUAGUGGUGAAAUGCGUAGAUAUCAGGAGGAACACCGGUGGCGAAGGCGGUUCUCUGGGCAUUACCUGACGCUGAGGAGCGAAAGUGUGGGGAGCGAACAGG
rnacentral:rRNA from 1 species